rnacentral:lncRNA from 1 species
GCUCCAGCCUUGGCCAGCCCAGAAAGGGAAUCCCACAGUGCAGUGGGGGGCUGAAGGGCUCCUCAAAUGCCACCAAAGUGGGAGCCCAGGCAGGGGAGGUGCCGAGAGAGCAAGCGAGGGCUCUGAGGACUGCCAGCACGCUGUCACCUCUCAAUUUUACAAGCAACUUACUUCUCCAAGACCAGGUGGAUAUGAUUCAUGCUCUGAAACUAUGUAUGUCCAUCUACUUCAAACUGAAGCUGUCAUUUAAUUUGCAUUCCAUCAAUUGAAUCAGAUAAUAGGCUCUAUUGUAGCCUGUAAAACUGACAAUGUCUCCUUUCUUCAAGUCGCAUUGACGUAAGAAGAGUUGUAUUUUUAUAGAAAGAAAAUAUUUUGCCUAAUCGCCUUCAAAGGAGCCUUGUACACAAUCUCUAGGUGAGGAAUGACUUUGUAAUCCGAGGCAUAAGGUAAUUGUAAAUGAUAAGUCACCUAUUAUCUAUUAGAGUUCAGAAUGACUCAAAAGUUAAAGUGAUUCAUGUGUUUUGCUGAUGGAUAAGAAAGAUGUUUUGAAAAAUAGGAAAUAGGCUCUUUCCUAGAAUACCUAUAAUAUACUUAAACAUGUAAUGCACAUACAUAAUGUAUAUCAUUAUGAGAUGAAUUGUGUCUCACAAAAUUCAUAACUUAAAGCUGUAACCCGCAGUACUUUGAAUGUGACUGUAUUCAGAGAAAGAACGUUCACAGAGGUGAGUUACUAUGAGGGUGUAGGGUGGGCCCUAAUUCAGACUAGUGUUCUUAUAGAGGAGAGUGUGCACAGAGGAGAGAUCAUGUGAGGACACAGCGAGAAGACAAUCAUCUGUAAGCCAAGGAGAGAGGCCUCAGAAAAAAAUCCACCCUGCUAAGAGCUUGAUCUUGGACUUACAGCCUCCAGGACUAACAAGAACCUGAGACCUGCCGAACAGCAGGUGCCAAAGAUGCUGCUGUAACACCACAGCCCUCCCAUCUUCCAUCCUCCACUGGCGCUGAGUGGCAGUCCCAUGUGACAGGAAGUGGAGGCAGAGCUGGGCCAGCCCAGGAGCCACGUGCUGGAGCCAGAUACUCUGUUUUUCUACAAAUGGAAAGUUUGUGGCAUCCUUGACUCAAGCAAAUUUUUCAGCACCAUUUUUCAAGAGCGUGUGCUCACUUCACCUCUCUGUAUCGUGUUUUGAUGCUUGUCCUGGAAACCAACCAUGAGCUGUGAUGAAAUCCAGGCAACUGAGUUGUGUUUCAGCCCAAAGCAGCAAAUGGAAUCCAGCUUCAGGACCAUCAUCUGACAUAGGGGAAGAAGACUUACAUAGAAGGCCUAACCAGCACCCAAGAUCAUGCUCAUAGGUGGAGGAGACUUGCUUUGUCUCAGAUGAGACUUUGGACUGUGGACUUUUGAGUUAAUGCUGAAAUGAGUUGAGACUUUGGGGAACUGUUGGGAAGGCAUGAUUGGUUUUAAAUAUGAAUAUAUGAGAUUUGGGAGGGGGUCAGGGGUGGAAUGAUAUGGUUUGGCUCUGUGUCCCCACCCAAAUCUCAUCUUGUAGCUCCCAUAAUCCUCCCAUGUUGUGGGAGGGACCCAGUGGGAGAUGAUUGAAUCAUGAGGGCGGGUCUUUCUCAUGCUGUUCAUGAUCCCAUUCAUGUGAGAAAGACCCAUGUGAUCAUGAAUGGGUCUCACAAGAUCUGAUGGUGUUAAAAAUGGGAGUUUCUCUGCACAAGCUCUCUGCCUGCUGCCAUUCACAAAGGAUGUGACUUGCUUCUCCUUGCCUUCUGCUAUGAUUGUGAGGCCUCCCUAGCCAUGUGGAACUGUGAGUCCAAUUAAACCUCUUUCUUUUGUAAAUU